rnacentral:rRNA from 1 species
AGAGUUUGAUCCUGGCUCAGGACGAACGCUGGCGGCGUGCUUAACACAUGCAAGUCGAGCGGAAAGGCCCUUCGGGGUACUCGAGCGGCGAACGGGUGAGUAACACGUGAGCAACCUGCCCCUGGCUCUGGGAUAGCUCCGGGAAACCGGGAUUAAUACCGGAUAUGACCCUUCCGUGCAUGCGGGGGGGUGGAAAGUUUUUCGGCUGGGGAUGGGCUCGCGGCCUAUCAGCUUGUUGGUGGGGUGAUGGCCUACCAAGGCGACGACGGGUAGCCGGCCUGAGAGGGCGGGCGGCCACACUGGGACUGAGACACGGCCCAGACUCCUACGGGAGGCAGCAGUGGGGAAUAUUGCGCAAUGGGCGGAAGCCUGACGCAGCGACGCCGCGUGGGGGAUGAAGGCCUUCGGGUUGUAAACCUCUUUCAGCAGGGGCGAAGCGAGAGUGACGGUACCUGCAGAAGAAGCGCCGGCUAACUACGUGCCAGCAGCCGCGGUAAUACGUAGGGCGCAAGCGUUGUCCGGAAUUAUUGGGCGUAAAGAGCUCGUAGGCGGCCUGUCGCGUCUGCUGUGAAAUCCCGGGGCUUAACCCCGGGCGUGCAGUGGAUACGGGCUGGCUGGAGGCAGGCAGGGGAGAAUGGAAUUCCCGGUGUAGCGGUGAAAUGCGCAGAUAUCGGGAGGAACACCGGUGGCGAAGGCGGUUCUCUGGGCCUGUUCUGACGCUGAGGAGCGAAAGCGUGGGGAGCGAACAGGAUUAGAUACCCCGGUAGUCC